rnacentral:rRNA from 1 species
UACGGAGGGUGCGAGCGUUGUUCGGAAUCACUGGGCGUAAAGCGCGUGUAGGCGGCCCACUAAGUCUGAUGUGAAAUCCCUCGGCUUAACCGGGGAACUGCAUCUGAUACUGGAUGGCUUGAGUUCGGGAGAGGGAUGCGGAAUUCCAGGUGUAGCGGUGAAAUGCGUAGAUAUCUGGAGGAACACCGGUGGCGAAGGCGGCAUCCUGGACCGACACUGACGCUGAGGAGCGAAAGCGUGGGGAGCGAACAGG